rnacentral:sRNA from 1 species
AAGUGAGGAAUUAAGGUCAAU